rnacentral:lncRNA from 1 species
ACUAUCAUGCAUUAAAUUUGAAACCGACCUUGAAUACAAUUUGUCAUCCAUACAUCCAAAAUAUGGUUUUUUUUACUAGAGAACUAGACAUGAAUUAACGUAAAUAAUCUUACACAAUCUUAACAAGCAUCAUCAUAUCAAAAGCUCAUAAAAUAUAUAUAUAUAUAGCAUCUUCUAAUUAAUCACCAUAGCAGCCCAUGCCGCAGCCGCCACUUUUCUUGCCCGUCCCGCUCUUCCAGCUCCCUCUCCCGCUCCUCCUCCCUCCGGCGCCGGCGCCAUCGCCGGCGACAGCGACAGCGUUGCCGCUGCCGUCAACUUCGAACAUGAUCAGCCGCGCCUCCGAAUCCCUCAGCUCGUCGUCGAGCUCGUCGUGCUGCGUGCGGACGUUCACGCAGGAGCACCGCUCGAGGGAGGCGAAGAACGCCGCGGCGAUGCCN